rnacentral:rRNA from 1 species
AUUGAACGCUGGCGGCAGGCCUAACACAUGCAAGUCGAGCGGAUGAAGGGAGCUUGCUCCUGGAUUCAGCGGCGGACGGGUGAGUAAUGCCUAGGAAUCUGCCUGGUAGUGGGGGAUAACGUCCGGAAACGGGCGCUAAUACCGCAUACGUCCUGAGGGAGAAAGUGGGGGAUCUUCGGACCUCACGCCAUCAGAUGAGCCUAGGUCGGAUUAGCUAGUUGGUGGGGUAAAGGCCUACCAAGGCGACGAUCCGUAACUGGUCUGAGAGGAUGAUCAGUCACACGGGAACUGAGACACGGUCCAGACUCCUACGGGAGGCAGCAGUGGGGAAUAUUGGACAAUGGGCGAAAGCCUGAUCCAGCCAUGCCGCGUGUGUGAAGAAGGUCUUCGGAUUGUAAAGCACUUUAAGUUGGGAGGAAGGGCAGUAAGUUAAUACCUUGCUGUUUUGACGGUACCAACAGAAUAAGCACCGGCUAACUUCGUG